GACACAGUUGACAGUUGCUUAGUAAAAUAAUUUGCUAUAAAAUGAAAAAUAUACUAGGGGUCCUCACUGUGUUCGGAAAGUUCCCGAUAGGGUUUGGGUUGUUUCUUGUUACUUGCGAUCAUAUGGUUGAAAAACACGAUUUAACAAGAGUUCUUGUUACAUCGUGGUUCAGAAGAAACCGUUUGAAAGAAACAUCCAGCUCAAAGCACAGUUCAAACUGUUCUUAUCCUUAGUGGGACAAUGGUACGUCCUCUAUCAGCAGCCUUACAAUGUGCUUCAUAAAUACAUCAACCCCUGAGAUCGUUGGAAAUUGUUUGUUCUCCACCUUUAUUAUUCACAUGCAAUGUCGCCGAACUUUGUUGUUGUGUGCGAUACGUUUGUCUAAGUGGCAGAUAGAACGGCUAAUGAUUUAAAUCUCACUUGGGAUAAUCUACUUCUCGGACAAGGUACUAGGGGCCCUCACUCCGUUCAGGAAGUUCCCGAUAGGGACGGGUGGUUUGAAUCGGUUGUGGGUGGUUGGUUUUUUCUUUCCAUGUCGUGCUGCUUGAUGGUGUGGUUUAGUUAUUGUAAGGCGGACUGUUUUUUCUGGUGCAGGAAUGUUGUUUUUAGGUAAUGGGUGUUUAUGUUUGGUAUGGCAAGUUUUUGGUUCGAAAAGUCUCCUCUGCACCCUUCAAGCGAAAACCUUGAACUCUGAUUCUAUUCGUCAGUUGUGCCUCAACUUCGGAUGAUAUUCGUCACUCCCGCUAUGCUUUGGUGUUAUCGAAAACGCUAUCUCUCCCUGCUAUUUUGAAAACUACCCGUCGAUUCUAUGUUGCCACCUGGUGGCGAAUCACAGAAGCUCUGUCAUGGAGUCAUGGAAAUACUAGAUAGGAAUUUGAAAAUUCGGCCUGGGCUACUAGCGCCAUUUGUGUUUGGUUCCGAAAGUUGUCUGUCUCCGCUAGAGUACGCUUCGAAAGGUUCGCGGAACAAUUCGUUCGUUUUUGAGUUUUUUUUUAAAUUUGAAUUUGAAUUUCAAUCACAAAGUUGUGAGGUUGGCAUAAUGUCGUUGGACAUCAUUCUUGAAAUUUGUCUGCCAUGUGGUUCCUCUGUGUAAAUUUCACAGUUACAAUCUAACUCUGUGACAUGGUAAAAACUGACUUUAGUUUUGUUGGGAUUGUGAAUUAAAAUGAAACGUUUAAAGAAGUAUGAACUGUUUCGUGUACUUUUCAAUAGUUUCAAAGCGUAAAAAAUUUUUAAAGUGAAAAUUUAUUUAAAUUGGCAUCCCUGUGUUCGUCAUUGUUUCGUCGUUGGUUGUGUGUGAUGUACGGUGGAGUUUUGUCGGUUGUAUUCCAUCAUGGUAUGUUUGUGUUCAGUAAGUGAUUUUUUUGGUUAUUGAAUGAAAUUGUAGUUUUUUCAAAGUGGAAUUUGUUGGUCAAGUUGUUUUGGAUGGUGACGGUUGGCGUUCUUGUUGUAUGCGCUUUUGUUGCGUCUUACCUUAUGGCUGCCUCUGGUUUUUCCGCUCCGCUGGGGUCUGAUUCUUGGAAAAAUCUUCUUGGUCGUCAGAUUGAUGCGGCAUUGUCGAGUAAGAUGUUGAAUAUUGAAGAAUUACCGAAAACUGUUGCGGAUCUCGAUGUUGAAUUCGAUGUGUGGAAGGUUUUUUUGCCUUCUUUUACAGGUUCUGUUGUCGUGUUUGCAGUUUUGCUUGCUGUUCAUUUUUAUAACAAAGUUCAGUUGAAGAUGAUGGAGUUGAAAGUUAGAAUAAGAAGCCUCGAGAGAAAAGGUGGACAAGGUGGAAGCGCUUCUGUGGAAUAGCUGAUUUGUUUGGUAACUGUUCAUGUGAGCGAGAAAAAGAGGAAAAUCAUGUUUUUGAAGAAGUUAAGGGUGAAAAGGAUAGUUGUUUUUAGGAUGUGAAUUCGAUGUGUGGAAGAUUUUGUUGCUUAAAAUACAUGAUUUAGAUUCAGAA
rnacentral:lncRNA from 1 species